UAUCUGUUGCGGUCCAGUCUUUCCAUUCCUUUCCUCCGUGUGUCUUUUCAGCUUCUUCUCACUGUGUCCCCGCGGGCAAAGGGACACAUUCUGCUUCGAUUCUUCACCAGAAUGUCGACUUUUAUCAGUUCUUAUGGUGUUACACAUUGCUCUUCAUGUUUUAUAAUGUAGAACAGAAUAUUACUCUUCAGUGGACAAUUGGAUGAACCGCGGUGCACAUAUGGCAGCUAUUUAAUGCCAAAUGUGAAUUUGCACCCCAAGUUGGUAGAUAUUUCCUGUCAUUUCUGUGUGUUUUUUGUGAGAUUUCUCAAAGAGAUGCCAUUGUGGUGGGGAAAGUCUUCAUCCAAAGAGGGAAAGAGGAAAGAAAAUAGGGAAAGUAUUAUUGAUGCAAUACAAAGGAAAUUAAAUAAAUCAAGAGGGUCUAGGAGACAUUGUGGUGACACUAUAUCACAGAAGAGAUCUAAGUCCCUUGUUCCUUCAAGAUCACCAUCACCCUCAACACAUGUCUCCCGCUGUCAAAGUUUUGCAGAAAGGCCUGAAGCUCAGCCACUCCCACUCCCCAGGAUGCACCUUCCCUCCAUCAAUCAAGCAAAUUCUGGAAUUAAUGCAACAUCAAAACUGGAAAACACCAGAGGCUCAAAGCCAUCUCUAUAUUUCCCCCUACCAAAACCUGGUCAUGUUUCUAACAGGGGAGAACCUACAGAUGCUGAGGAAGAUAUAGCCACUGCAUCAGUUUCUAGUGACAGCUCUAUUUAUAGUGAUGAUGACCAAUGUGACUCACAUUUCCUUAGUCCUCUGGCAUCUGACUGUGAAAAUGGAAACAGAGCUAUUGUUCACAGUACAACCAGGGUGGUGCAUAAAGAUCAAUCAGAUAUUACUGUCCAAAAAAGCUCAAGAGUAUCCUCAAAACCGGCUCUUCAAUUGUGCAAUCAUCAACUUCUAUCUAACACAUUCAAAGGGGCUUUGCAUCUGCCAAAUCUGCAAAUGGCUUGUUCAGGUGGUUUAUGGAGUGCUCCAGAUAGUUCAAUGUCAAGUCCUUCUAAAAGUCCACAGAGAACAUUUGGUUCUGAGCAAGAUUUGAACCCUGGAUUCUGUACAGGAAAGUUGUAUCCAGAUAUAGCUUCUGGGCACUGCUCUAGUCCAGGUUCAGGCCAUAAUUCUGGGCAUAAUUCAGUUGGUGGGGAUUUGUCAGUGCAGAUAUGUUGGCCACAGAGCAGAUGCAGCCCUGAGUGUUCUCCAAUACCCAGUCCUGGAAUGACAAGCCCUGGUUUCAGUUCCAGGAUACACAGUGGUGCUGUCACCCCUCUUCAUCCACAAGCUGGAGGUGCUGCAACAGAAUCACCCACAAGACGUCGUGAUGAUGUAAAACAACAGACUCACCGAUUACCACUUCCUUCAUUAACAAUCACUAAAUCAUGUCCAUUUUCUCCAACUGCAACUACUACUCCUUCAGCACCUCGUAGUCCUGGUAUAGCAGAAAAUCUACCAAGCCCUGGUUCAUGCUGGAAAAAGGGACAACUGCUUGGACAGGGGACAUUUGGGCAUGUAUAUCUUGGUUUUAACAGUGAAAGUGGUGAGAUGUGUGCAAUGAAGGAGGUAACUCUUUUUUCAGAUGAUGCUAAAUCAAGGGAAAGUGCUCAACAACUUGGCCAAGUAGAUGACAAACUUUACAUAUACUUGGAGUAUGUCUCUGGUGGGUCAAUCUAUAAGUUGCUUCAACAAUAUGGCCAGCUUGGUGAAAUUGCUAUUCGUAAUUAUACUCGGCAAAUUUUGUUAGGUCUUGCAUAUUUACAUGCUAAGAACACUGUCCAUAGAGACAUUAAAGGAGCAAACAUAUUGGUGGAUCCUAAUGGGAGGGUAAAAUUGGCAGAUUUUGGUAUGGCAAAGCAUAUAAGCGGGCAGUCCUGUCCAUUAUCUUUCAAAGGAAGUCCUUACUGGAUGGCACCUGAGGUUAUAAAAAAUUCUAAUGGUUGUAAUCUUGCUGUUGAUAUAUGGAGCCUUGGCUGCACUGUUUUGGAGAUGGCGACAACAAAACCACCUUGGAGUCAAUAUGAAGGGGUUGCAGCUAUGUUUAAGAUUGGAAACAGCAAGGAACUUCCUGCAAUCCCAGAUCAUCUAUCAGAAGAAGGAAAAGAUUUUGUCAAGCUUUGCUUGCAAAGGAAUCCACUACAUCGUCCCUCUGCUGCUCAACUUCUUCUGCAUCCAUUUGUUAGAAAAGCCACACCGGAAAGACCCUUUCUGUCUGCUGAUCCUUCAGAAGCUAAACCUGCUUUUGUAAAUGCUUUGAGAUCUCUGGUAAAAGCAACUGGAAGUGUUCAUGGGAAGCACACUAAUAGUUGUUUUGUUUGCCUGCCUUUUUAUUCUGUGUGAAUUUUUACAGAUUUCUUGAAUUCUUUACUAUUACUGUUUAACCAUUUUUUUAGGCCAUUGGACCUACAAAACAUAAUUUAUGCUUAGAUUCAGUAGCGGCUAGCAUACAUUUGUCAAGAAGCUCAAGAGCUGGUUCAGGAACAAGCAAUGCCCAUACACCAAGGAACAUCUCUCGUCCUGUGUCUCCUACUGGGAGCCCACUUUUUCCAUCUAGAUCACAGCAUGAGUGGAAGGAUGUCUCCAUCUCCUAUAUCUAGUCCUCAUACUGCAUCUGGUUCAUCUACACCGCUCACUGGUGGCACUGGUGCAAUCCCAUUUCAUCAAACAAAGCAGCCGACAUUCUCAUAUGAAGGAGUCAAUGUGAUCCACAGGCCUCAAAAUAGUCGUUAUUCAAAUGCAAACAAUGCUUAUCAGGAGCCAAAGCAUGACCCACUUUGGGGGAUUCUCCAAACUACUUUUGCUUGCCCGGACAUAGUUCCAUCUAAUAAUGAUGCUCUUGGAAACCAUAAUAGGAGGCUUGUCCAGGGGUUAUCGACCGAGUUUUAUGAUGGUAAGUCAUAUGUAGCUGAUUGUGUGUCACAACAGCUGUUAAGGGAUCAUGUAAGACUAAAUUUCAUUCCUAAAUCUUAAUCCUAAUGUUUGGAAGCUAAUGGCUCAUGGAGUGCAGUAACAUGUAUGUACUCCUUGAAUGACUUUCAAGCGUCAAACUAAUUUUGAAUUCCAUAGCGUAGGUAUUCCUUGGCUCCACAAAGAUGGUGCAAAAUACUCAUUUCUACAGAGUGGAUCCCCUAGGAUAUGCAAGCCUCAGUCUUGUGAAUAACAACUUUUUUGGCAUGUCAGGAAAAUGUACAUUAACAACUUUGGUGCUGCCACUGGGCUUUGUAUUUGAUCAUUCUAGCCCGAAAAUAGUGGUGGCGCCAAAGGCCCAAGUGUAAAAACAAAAAUAUCUAUUGUACAGAUGGGUAGGAACUAAAUUCAAGUUGAAUUUAAGCAAUAUUUUCCUCCCGUUGCUUGGAUUG